rnacentral:rRNA from 2 species
UUAGUGGCGCACGGGUGCGUAACGCGUGGGAAUCUACCCUUAGGUGCGGAAUAACAGUUAGAAAUGACUGCUAAUACCGCAUAAUGACUCCGGUCCAAAGAUUUAUCGCCUAAGGAUGAGCCCGCGUAAGAUUAGCUAGUUGGUGAGGUAAAAGCUCACCAAGGCGACGAUCUUUAGCUGGUCUGAGAGGAUGAUCASCCACACUGGGACUGAGACACGGCCCAGACUCCUACGGGAGGCAGCAGUGGGGAAUAUUGGACAAUGGGCGAAAGCCUGAUCCAGCCAUGCCGCGUGAGUGAUGAAGGCCUUAGGGUUGUAAAGCUCUUUUACCAGGGAUGAUAAUGASAGUACCUGGAGAAUAAGCUCCGGCUAACUCCGUGCCAGCAGCCGCGGUAAUACGGAGGGAGCUAGCGUUGUUCGGAAUUACUGGGCGUAAAGCGCGCGUAGGCGGCUAUUCAAGUCARAGGUGAAAGCCCGGGGCUCAACUCCGGAACUGCCUUUGAAACUAGAUAGCUAGAAUAUGGGAGAGGUGAGUGRAAUUCCGAGUGUARAGGUGAAAUUCSUAKAUAUUCGGAARAACACCAGUGGCGAANGCGACUCACUGRACCAUUAUUGACGCUGARGUGSGAAAGCGUGNGGARCAAACAGGAUUAGAUACCCUGRUAKUCCACGCCGUAAACGAUGAGAACUAGCUGU